rnacentral:rRNA from 1 species
UACGGGGGGAGCAAGCGUUGUUCGGAUUUACUGGGCGUAAAGGGCGCGUAGGCGGCCACUGCAAGUCAGUUGUGAAAUCUCCGGGCUUAACUCGGAACGGUCAACUGAUACUGCGCGGCUAGAGUGCGGAAGGGGCAACUGGAAUUCUCGGUGUAGCGGUGAAAUGCGUAGAUAUCGAGAGGAACACCUGCGGCGAAGGCGGGUUGCUGGGCCGACACUGACGCUGAUGCGCGAAAGCCAGGGGAGCGAACGGG